AAAUAAUUAGGGAGCAUAUGACGAAUAUGCGCUGGAAAACCGGAAGUGACGUCAGAUGCCGGAACAGCCGAACUUCUGCCCACGUGAAUGGCUGUCUUACAAGCGGCAAAUUCAAAAGGCAUCAAGUUGGACAUCUUUUCAUGCACCAAGGAAAACUCGUGGAAACACGUCUUCAUGUGAGAAGGACUGUUUGUCACCAUCAAGGGACUUAUUUUACACAGUUUCUUUUACUUUGUUUUAAUACUUUGUUUCAAUACAUUUUUACUUUUUAUCACUAUUGCUGCACCUCCUGAUCCACAUG